AACAACAAACAAUAGGAUUAUAAAUAUCAGAAGAGGAUCAGUGCUAAAAGAAAUAAUACAAUUAUAAAAAUAAUUUAGAAAAUCUUAUGAAAUUGCAGAAAAAUAAUUUUCAUAUUAAAUUCAUCCAAUCAUAGUCUCUGGAUAUCAUGGAAACAAUUAUAUUUCGACCGGAAACGUAUAAAAGGUCCUUCAUUGCGGAAGGGCGGUCGUUGCGAUUCUCUAGAGAAACAACUUCCGACGGAUACUAAAUCUGAAUAUAAAAUUUCCAAUGCCAAGUCACCGUUCCAAAAGUGCAAUCCGACUUCAAUAUUAAUAUCGAAUAAGAGAAGCUUGUCAGUGCCGCGGAGUUACGUUUUACGAAUUUGAAAUAUUCACUGAACCGAAUAAAGAAAGCACGAUGGUAUUUACAAAUAGCGCGAGGCAUAUCCCUGUCCACGUUAGUUCGUUUUCCGUUUUUUGUCAGAAAAAAGCAUAGUCGAACGGAUAUAAGAAGAGCAAUAAGAAAAAGAGAGAAACAGUAUGGCUAAUACCGCCUCUCAUUUUUCAGGGAGAGAUAACGCUUUAAAACGAGCAAUACGAAAAAAAUAAUACACUGUACGUUAUGGUUAUUUACAUGGAAUAAUACAGUACGUUCAUGCAUGCGUGCAUAGGAGUGAGUAGUUAGCAAAUAACAAAUGUGAAUCAAUAUUUAAAAUGCAGAGUUUCUCAACGUAGAAAUAUGAUUAAUCGUUAUCAUUAAGAGGGAUGUGCACAGAGGCAUAGGAUUGAUCUAUGAAGCGAUUAACUGCCAUGGACGAGUCUAGUGCUUCAGUCGCCCGAUCCUUUAAGCGUAGAUGCCAUUUUGCUAAUCCUAUUAUUCGUCACGAGAAAAUGCGCGUCCAUAACAAUGCAUUGGCCAAGUGCAAUAUCCAAUAAAAGUGUUCAAUCCUUGAGAAUAGUGCAUCGCUAUCGUAUACUCCCUGGGUGCCACUCUGGGUGGAGAAUGCUAGAGAGUAAGAAUACCGGAGGCCAUUCAUAUCGAGAAAUUUCAUCAAGCAAUUCAGAGUAGCCUUGCGAAAAUCCCUGUACUUCGAGGAGUCCGUAGUAAUGCAACUGGGAGUUCGCGUCGGUGAAUGGUGUCACGUAUAGUCAGACAUAACCUAUAACCAAGCGGACGGCAAUAGGUAGUGGCUAGGUAGGAUGUCGGUAACGUAGAACAGCUACUCGCCGUUACCGACGAAAACAUCCAAACACACUCGACGGAUCUAAGGAUGGUCGCUCGCGAAAAUUGCGUACGACAGUUUGCCUCGCGCAAACUUGCCCGGCAAUGUUUCUAUGCUAAUGGGAGAGAGUGGGAUAACCGUUUGGGAGCUGAGGAAACGCAGCGUUCAUUCGGGAGCCCAGCCAAACGUCUGCAGACCACGUCCCAGCUUCUAAGUGUGUGCAUUCGUACGCGGCUACGUACCCGGAUGUCAAGGAAAAGCGGGAAAAUUGCUCUGAAAAGGGAUUGCGCCACCUUAUAGAAGUUCCUCUGGACAGGAUACGAACAUCCUCGCAGAAACGUUGGAGCUAGAUCUUCCCAAGGUAAAUAAGGGCUGCGAAAUAGAAAGGGUGAAAUAUAUAGGAAAUAAAGGAUGGAUAUAUCCAGGAACAAGAGGAAAGAAAAGGUUAAAGACAAUUCGACAUGGUAAACAAUCUCCUUACAGUCUUAGCACUCAUUCUACGUGCACACAUACCAACGUCAUUGACAAUUCUUGUGACCAUUCCAUUGAAGAGGAAUGGAAAUUUUCCUGCUCGUACAGUGCAGCUCAUAGAGUAAGGAUGGAGGACUAACGGUUGUUAGUCCUAUAGAGUUUUGUUAUAAGGACUGUAAAACUCUGGCCAACGAACUUGGAAAAUUGUCCCAGGAUAAGGUUUACGUUUGUUCCACAUUGAAAUUUCACGAGCUUCCAUCUCCCCCUUAGCCCAUUCGACUGAAUAGGGGAUGAGUCAAAGAAUCAGGCACGAAGGUUAUCGUUAAAAAGUAUAUACGCUGUUCCUUAAUCUGCUAAGAGCAGAUUACGGCACUUAAACUAUAUAAGCGGAGGAACGAGCGCUGCGGCCAAGGUGUACGUAAGAAAGCUUAGGAAUUAAUUUCCCGUAACAACGGCUGAUAACGUUAAUAGAACGACGUUAUCUGGCCGGCUAUCGCUUAUAUUUCGUUAUAACGCGACCUUUACGCUAUAGGGAUGUAUCAAGAUAUAUCGAGACGUCCGUACAGGUUUGUAUCUCGGGUACAGUUCCCUUCGUAAGUAAGGUAAGUAACGAUCACGUGUACCAAACUGGUGAACUGAAGCUCGUACGGUGCCCCUUAAGACCCGUUCUAAACUUCUGCCAUUAAGUUUUAUGACACUGAGAAUACGUAUGGGUACGUGAAACUCAUUACAGACGUGUAUACAGAUAGGUACCAUAUACCUGCUGUUGUAUUAGAUAUGUGUAUACUAUAUAUAUGCAUAUAUACAACUGGCCAUCGUGCUACAUAAUAACCGUCAAUAGCGACCAGUGAGAAGCUAGAAUUACAAAAGUAAUAAAGUUGGCGAAAUAGUUCACGCAAUAGAUCCAGAGGUCACGCCAUGACAUUUCUACUAUUAGAUAUCACCCGAAUCGACUUUACCUGCAUAUUUCCGUAAUAUUCUCUUCUCUCAACUAUUAAUCCACUACGUGAUUUGAAUCUUCUUUUUCAGAAUUGCCACCUAUGUCCACUGCGAACUCCUCGUGUACUA